GUGAAGAACGCAGCGAAAUGCGAUAAGUAGUGUGAAUUGCAGAAUUCAGUGAAUCAUCGAGUCUUUGAACGCACAUUGCGCCCCCUGGUAUUCCGGGGGGCAUGCCUGUCCGAGCGUCAUUGCUGCCCUCAAGCACGGCUUGUGUGUUGGGCCUCCGUCCUCCUCCCGGGGGACGGGCCCGAAAGGCAGCGGCGGCACCGCGUCCGGUCCUCGAGCGUAUGGGGCUUCGUCACCCGCUCUUGUAGGCCCGGCCGGCGCUUGCCGACACAUCAAUCUUUUUUCCAGGUUGACCUCGGAUCAGGUAGGGAUACCCGCUGAACUUAAGCAUAUCAAUAAGCGGAGGA
rnacentral:misc_RNA from 1 species